UGGAAGCGUGGCCGAGCGGUUGAAGGCACCGGUCUUGAAAACCGGCGACCCGAAAGGGUUCUAGAGUUCGAAUCUCUACGCAAAUUCUAA
rnacentral:tRNA from 1 species